CCAGCACUAAAGCACCGGAUCCCAUCAGAACUCCGAAGUUAAGAGUGCUUGG
rnacentral:rRNA from 1 species